AUUGAACGCUGGCGGCAUGCUUUACACAUGCAAGUCGAACGGUAACAGGUUAAGCUGACGAGUGGCGAACGGGUGAGUAAUGCAUCGGAACGUGCCCGAUCGUGGGGGAUAACGCAGCGAAAGCUGCGCUAAUACCGCAUACGAUCUGAGGAUGAAAGCGGGGGACCGUAAGGCCUCGCGCGAUCGGAGCGGCCGAUGUCAGAUUAGGUAGUUGGUGGGGUAAAGGCUCACCAAGCCAACGAUCUGUAGCUGGUCUGAGAGGACGACCAGCCACACUGGGACUGAGAAACGGCCCAGACGCCUACGGGAGCCAGCAGUGGGGAAUUUUGGACAAUGGGCGAAAGCCUGAUCCAGCAAUGCCGCGUGCAGGAAGAAGGCCUUCGGGUUGUAAACUGCCUUUGUACGGAGCGAAAAGGCUCUCUCUAAUACAGGGGGCUCAUGACGGUACCGUAAGAAUAAGCACCGGCUAACUACGUGCCAGCAGCCGCCGUAACAC
rnacentral:rRNA from 1 species